rnacentral:lncRNA from 1 species
CUUAUUAGGUGAUUUUCAAUGGAAGAAUAUGUUUGAGUUCUUAAAUAGAAACCUAAGAAAAUACUUAUUCUAGAAAUUAGAAUGUGGCUAAGAAUAAAAGGGGAAACCAAAAAUAGCAGGGACGGAAGAAGCUAAGUAGACUGCAGCAUAAGGAACGCAGAAAUUCCAACUGUGUUAGGAACUUUGAAUGUCAAUUAUUCAAGCAAGACAAUAACCACCACCCUUGGUCACAAAGUGCUGGGAUUACAGGCAUGAGCCACCACACCCAGCUUUUAGUUACUUUUUAAAAUCAAUGUGCACUUAGGUUCUAAAAUUAUGCUUAAUGCCUUUAAUUCAGUCUGAAAUUACUCUCAAU